rnacentral:rRNA from 1 species
GACGAACGCUGGCGGCGUGCUUAACACAUGCAAGUCGAACGGAAAGGCCCUGCUUUUGUGGGGUGCUCGAGUGGCGAACGGGUGAGUAACACGUGAGUAACCUGCCCUUGACUUUGGGAUAACUUCAGGAAACUGGGGCUAAUACCGGAUAGGAGCUCCUGCUGCAUGGUGGGGGUUGGAAAGUUUCGGUGGUUGGGGAUGGACUCGCGGCUUAUCAGCUUGUUGGUGGGGUAGUGGCUUACCAAGGCUUUGACGGGUAGCCGUCCUGGGAGGGUGACCGGCCACAUUGGGAUGGGGAUACGGCCCAGACUCGUACGGGAGGGAGGGGUGGAGAAUAGUGCACAAGGGGCGGAAGCAUGAUGCAGCAACGCCGCGUGGGGGAUGAGGUCAUGCGGGUUGGAAAGUGCUUUCGCCUGUGACGAAGCGUGAGUGACGGUAAUGGGAAAAGAAGCACCGGCUAACUACGU